rnacentral:rRNA from 2 species
GUCCGUAUAGAUAUGAUUCAGCUCCGCCGAGGAUGGGAGCCCGCUCCCCGCCGUCAGCGGCGGCCGGGUGAGUAACACGUGGGCAACCUGCCUGUAAGACUGGGAUAACUCCGGGAAACCGGGGCUAAUACCGGAUAACUCUUUUCCUCACAUGAGGAAAAGCUGAAAGAUGGUUUCGGCUAUCACUUACAGAUGGGCCCGCGGCGCAUUAGCUAGUUGGUGAGGUAACGGCUCACCAAGGCCACGAUGCGUAGCCGACCUGAGAGGGUGAUCGGCCACACUGGGACUGAGACACGGCCCAGACUCCUACGGGAGGCAGCAGUAGGGAAUCUUCCGCAAUGGACGAAAGUCUGACGGAGCAACGCCGCGUGAGUGAUGAAGGUUUUCGGAUCGUAAAACUCUGUUGUCAGGGAAGAACAAGUACCGGAGUAACUGCCGGUACCUUGACGGUACCUGACCAGAAAGCCACGGCUAACUACGUGCCAGCAGCCGCGGUAAUACGUAGGUGGCAAGCGUUGUCCGGAAUUAUUGGGCGUAAAGCGCGCGCAGGCGGUUCCUUAAGUCUGAUGUGAAAGCCCCCGGCUCAACCGGGGAGGGUCAUUGGAAACUGGGGAACUUGAGUGCAGAAGAGAAGAGUGGAAUUCCACGUGUAGCGGUGAAAUGCGUAGAGAUGUGGAGGAACACCAGUGGCGAAGGCGACUCUUUGGUCUGUAACUGACGCUGAGGCGCGAAAGCGUGGGGAGAAAACAGGAUUAGAUACCCCUGGUAGUCCACGCCGUAAACGAUGAGUGCUAAGUGUGAGAGGGUUUCCGCCCUUUUGUGCUGCACCAAACGCAUUAAGCACUCCCCCGGGGGAGACGGCGCCACGCUGAAACUCAAAGGAAUUGACGGGGGCCCCCACAGCGGUGGAGCAUGUGGUUUUAUUUCGAAGCAACGCGGAGAAACUUACCACGGCUUGGACUCUCCUGACACCCCUAGAGAUAGGGCGUG